GACGUAGGGGGCAAGCGUUGUCCGGAGUUACUGGGCGUAAAGCGCACGCAGGCGGUUCUUUCAGUUCAAAGUGACAGUCGUCGGCUUCACUGACGAAGGACUAGGAAGACGGGAGAACUUGAGGGCUUCAGAGGGACACGGAAUUCCGGGUGGAGUGGUGAAAUGCGUAGAUAUCCGGAGGAACACCAACAGCGAAGGCAGUGUCCUGGGAAGUCUCUGACGCUCAGGUGCGAAAGCCAGGGGAGCGAACGG
rnacentral:rRNA from 1 species